CACACUCCUGUCCCCAGUCCCACAUGGCUUUCUGCCAAUAAAACGAACCUCCGUUCCUCUCUUUCGCAAGAUACCGAGAGAGAAAGAGAGGCGCGUCAAGCCUCAAACGGAAUCCUUGUGGCCUCCGAACUGUAUCAGUAGACUCCUCCCACAACCACAGUGUCACCAACGCCGAAAACGUCGACCGAAACGGUCUGAAAACCCAGAGGAGCUCUAGGAAGUUCUCUAUCCAUCACACAAUCUGCUACCCACUACCCGUAACCCGCAAGCAUAACCCGAGGUCGUGAGCAGCAGUAGCUGAGGAGCGGCGGACGUCAGAGACUUGGGUGACCUGCUGUGCGAUCAUGUAUAAUUAUUUUUCUACGGUACAUUUACGUAUUUGGAAAAUCAUAGCGGUGGUAGACUUUUAUGGUUUGUAAUAAUGUGAUUCUACCACUGUUAAUGUAUAAUUAUAACUGGAAUAAUGUACCGUGUAUGUAUGUAUGAAUGUUUUC